rnacentral:rRNA from 1 species
CCCUUAGAUGUUCUGGGCCGCACGCGCGCUACACUGACGAAUGCAACGAGCUUAUAACCUUGGCCGAAAGGUCUGGGUAAUCUCCAAAUUUCGUCGUGAUGGGGAUAGAUUAUUGCAAUUAUUAAUCUUCAACGAGGAAUGCCUAGUAAGCGCAAGUCAUCAGCUUGCGUUGAUUACGUCCCUGCCCUUUGUACACACCGCCCGUCGCUCCUACCGAUUGAAUGGUCCGGUGAAGCGUUCGGACCGUGGCCUUUGGACGGUUCGCCGUCUGUUGGCUGCGGGAAGUUCGUUAAACCUUAUCAUUUAGAGGAAGGAGAAGUCGUAACC